rnacentral:rRNA from 1 species
UACAGAGGGGGCAAGCGUUGUUCGGAAUUACUGGGCGUAAAGGGCGCGUAGGCGGCCUGCUAAGUCGAACGUGAAAUCCCCGGGCUCAACCCGGGAACUGCGUCCGAUACUGGCAGGCUUGAAUCCGGGAGAGGGAUGCGGAAUUCCAGGUGUAGCGGUGAAAUGCGUAGAUAUCUGGAGGAACACCGGUGGCGAAGGCGGCAUCCUGGACCGGCAUUGACGCUGAGGCGCGAAAGCCAGGGGAUCAAACGGG